GGACAGGUGGCCGAGAGGCUGAAGGCGCCGGUCUCGAAAACCGGUAUACGGUAACCCCGUAUCGUGAGUUCGAAUCUCACCCUGUCCG
rnacentral:tRNA from 1 species